UGCUCUUCCUAUUUCAGACCUGGAGUUCUACUCUAAUUCAGAACUGAGCAGCAGGAUGGCAGACAACAGUGUGUGGUGAGUGUGCAGACCAUAGGGCACUGGUGAGUGCCUACCAUUUGCCAGUAAGCCACAGAGUCAGACCGCAUCCUCUGUGGGCAAACUAGCUUUAGUAUGGGGGAGGGUGGGAAGGUGGGCGUGGGCUGGUGAAGGUAGUGGGGCCGUGAUAGCAAAGCUUUCAUAACUUCUUUCUCUUCAACAAAGACUGAGCUCGCCUCUUGCUGUCAGUAAAGAAGUUGUUCCUAAACUUUGCAUCGCUGAAGCUCACCCACACAGUGAGAUGUGCUGUCUUCCCCUCCCUCGGGAACAUUGGCCUGCAAUACCUCGGUGUCCAGCGGCCCUCAGUGCCUGACAGCUCUGACCUUAUCAAACCCUUGUGCUGACUGCGGGGGACCUGAGCUCCCUUCCCUGAAUCACGGCCUCCAUGUAGUCUUCCUUGUGUCCUCCCUAUGUAAACGUGGUUAAUGCUUCCUGGCUGUAGUGGGUAGCACGCAAAUAAGAAUU